GAUGAAGGCCCUAGGGUCGUAAAGCUCUUUCGCCAGAGAUGAUAAUGACAGUAUCUGGUAAAGAAACCCCGGCUAACUCCGUGCCAGCAGCCGCGGUAAUACGGAGGGGGUUAGCGUUGUUCGGAAUUACUGGGCGUAAAGCGCACGUAGGCGGAUCAGAAAGUAUGAGGUGAAAUCCCGGGGCUCAACCCCGGAACUGCCUUGUAAACUCCUGGUCUUGAGUUCGAGAGAGGUGAGUGGAAUUCCGAGUGUAGAGGUGAAAUUCGUAGAUAUUCGGAGGAACACCAGUGGCGAAGGCGGCUCACUGGCUCGAUACUGACGCUGAGGUGCGAAAGUGUGGGGAGCAAACAGGAUUAGAUACCCUGGUAGUCCACACCGUAAACGAUGAAUGCCAGACGUCAGCAAGCAUGCUUGUUGGUGUCACACCUAACGGAUUAAGCAUUCCGCCUGGGGAGUACGGUCGCAAGAUUAAAAC
rnacentral:rRNA from 1 species